rnacentral:rRNA from 1 species
AACGAACGCUGGCGGCGUGUUUAAGACAUGCAAGUCGCACGGUGUCAUUUUGGUAGCAAUACUUGGAUGGCACAGUGGCGCACGGGUGAGUAACACGUGAAUGACAUGCCCUUCAGAGGGGGAUAGCCCAGGGAAACUUGGAUUAAUACCCCAUGGUCUCGCAAGAGUAAAGGUGGCCGCAAGGCUGUCGCUGGAGGAUUGGUUCGCGUUCUAUCAGCUUGUUGGCGGGGUAACGGCCCACCAAGGCUACGACGGAUACCUGGUCUGAGAGGACGAUCAGGCACACUGGAACUGAGACACGGUCCAGACACCUUCGGGUGGCAGCAGUCGAGAAUAAUUCACAAUGGGGGCAACCCUGAUGGUGCAACGCCGCGUGGAGGAUGAAGGUCUUCGGAUUGUAAACUCCUGUCAUCCGGGAGCAAGACCUGACGGUGAAUAGCCGGCAGGGUUGAUAGUACCGGAAGAGGAAGGGACGGCUAACUUCAUGCCAGCAGCCGCAGUAACAC